UCCGUCGAAAUCUCAAGUUUUUGUGAUGUUGUUGAUGUUGUUUGAUGUUUUUAAAACAUUUUUCAUUAUGGUACGGAACUAUAAAAGAAAAACAGCAGACUCUUACGAUUACGAAACAUUAAUGAAAGCUGUAAAUGAGGUCAAAGCUGGUAAACUUAACGCAUAUGAAGCGGCAAGAAAAUACGUAAUUCCCCGCACUACUAUUGCUGAUAGAGCAAAAAAUAAAAGAGGAGUUGUGAAAAAUAAUCGAGGCCCACCAACUACAUUAAAUAGAGAAUUUGAGCUUAGACUCGCCAAUGGCUUGCGGGUAAUGGAAAAAUAUGGUUUUGGUCUUACAUCUAAAGAAACAUUAAAUUUGGUUAGUUUACACGUAAGGCAAAAUAAUUACAAAACUCCAUUUAAAAACGAAAGGCCAGGACUGGUUUGCUGCCUUUAAGAAAAGACAUAAUCUUUCACUAAAAAAACCACAAGCUGUAGAAAUGUCAAGAAAAACAGUAGCAGAUCCUUUUAUUGUUGAUAAUUAUUUUGACAUUCUCGAAGAAGUUUUAAACGAGCUUGAUCUUAAUGGAAGACCGGACAAAAUAUGGAAUCUUGAUGAAUCCAGUUUCAGAAAAGAUCCAGAAAAAGCAAAAGUGGUCGGUGCACGUGGCUAUGCUAGCACCCGAACAAUUGCCUCGUCUGGCAAAGAUAAUGUUACAAUUUUAUUUACAGCCAAUGCAAUGGGUGAAAAGUUGCCUCCACUAAUAAUAAACCGUGGAAAAAAUACAUGGGACCAACGGACGUCUGAAAAUGCAUAUGAAAAUACAUCAUACGCGGCAACUACGAAUGGAUGGAUUGACUCUUAAGGUUUUCGAAAAAUACAUGUUUAAUACAGUACUACCACAUUAAAGCCAAGACCCCCCCCGCAUUAUUAAUAUUUGACGGGCAUUCAACCCAUAUACAGUUAAAAAUUCUAGAAAGGGCCAAGAAUCUGGGUGUUACUAUAAUUAAAUUGCCAUCUCAUGCGAGCCACUUACUGCAGCCACUGGAUAUAGCAGUUUUUAAAUCGAUGAAGAAUUCGUGGGAUACGAAACUUGUCCAAUGGCAAAGAUUAAAUGUUGGUACCAAAUUACCAAAAGACGAAUUUAGCAGACUAAUAGGCGAAGUUUGGCGAGAAUUGGACCCAAAAAUUAUAAAAAAUGGGUUCAGAAAAAGUGGCGUUUUCCCAUAUAAUAGGAACGUCAUUGAUGAAGACAAAUUUGAUGCAGAAUCCCUAAAUAGAUUUUAUGAAUAUAAGUCAACAAAAAAAGAAGUGCCAUCUCUAAAACACUAAAGUCUACAAGCAGUACUCCAAAAGCCAAAUGUUCCAAAAUCGAUUUCAUCAUCAGUAUCGCAUUCGUCACCCUUGCAAUCAAAUUCUAAAAAUAUCACCAUACUUGAAGAUCGCUAUUUUUCCGAUUCCGAAAAAGUUUCCUUUGAAACUUUACUCUUACAGACAAUAAAAAGAAGUGAUUCGUCUAUCAAAUUAAAAAAGAAAAAGAUCGCUAGAAGCUGUGAAGUAAUAACUAGAGAAGAGUUCCUAGAAAAAAAAGGAAAGAAGAAGAAGUGAAACAAGAUAAAGAAAAAAAUACCAAAACAAAGAAACCUAAGAAACCUGAAACUAAAAACAAAAAUAAGAAAUCCUAUGGCAAUAAAAUAAAAAGCAAUCAACAAAGUAAUGGCGAAGUAACUGAUGACGAUUCAACAAAGGUAAAUAAAAUUAAGAAAAUAUCUUCCAAGUAUGAAGACGAUAGCGAAGAGUCAGAAGAUGGAUCAGUAAAGAAAAAUAAGACUAAGAUUGUGACUAACAAGCAUCAAGAUGAUAGCGAAGAAAUAGAAAAAGAAUCGCCAAAGAAAAAAAGACUAGGAAAAGAAUAUCCAAAAAGAAUUCAAGAAAAAAGAAGGGUAGUUUAAUGGUUACUGUACCCGUAAUUAUUUUUCUUUGCUUUGGAGGACGUUAUGUUUGUUUUUUUUUAUUUUAUUCACUAUUUGUUUUUUAGUAAGAAAUGCGAUAAGUGUUUCAAUUACGUCUUAUAUUCUUUGUUUAAAAACUGGUACUGAUUAUGAUACGGAGAUUAGUUAGUAAAAUAGUACUGUGAUCUUUUAAUUGUGCCCGAAUAAUAAAUUACGUUACUUUCA